GUAGAGUAAGACUCUUAUUCCCAAAUUAAACUUCUAGUCAGAUUAAGAUUGGGUGUAUUAAUACUAUAAACAGGGGGACGGUGAAAAGGUUAUUUGGCUUUAGCUAUCGAAGAGAGUUGCUUCCCAUGGAGAGGGGUUGUGGUUUAUUUUAGAGAGAGGCUUUGUCCAUUGAUGCGGGGCCACUUACCUAUCUAUUGAUGAUGAGCACUUGUUCAUUGUAGUGAAGAGAGGCUUUCACCUAAGGUAUUGAAAAGACAUAAAAUUUUAGAGUAAGGGAUUUUUGUCCAUUGGUGAGAGG
rnacentral:misc_RNA from 1 species